rnacentral:rRNA from 1 species
UACGAGUGCCUCGAGCGUUAUCCGGAAUCACUGGGCUUAAAGCGUGUGUAGGCGGCCCGUUAAGUGCCUCGUGAAAUCCCCCGGCUCAACCGGGGAACUGCCGGGCAUACUGGCGGGCUUGGGUCGCUCAGGGGCAGACGGAACAGGCGGUGGAGCGGUGAAAUGCGUAGAUAUCGGAAGGAACACCUGUGGCGAAAGCGGCUCACUGGACCAUUACUGACGCUGAGGCACGAAAGCUAGGGGAGCAAACAGG